rnacentral:rRNA from 1 species
CAGCAGCCGCGGUAAUACAGAGGGUGCGAGCGUUAAUCGGAUUUACUGGGCGUAAAGCGUGCGUAGGCGGCUAAUUGAGUCGGAUGUGAAAUCCCCGAGCUUAACUUGGGAAUUGCAUUCGAUACUGGUUAGCUAGAGUGUGGGAGAGGAUGGUAGAAUUCCAGGUGUAGCGGUGAAAUGCGUAGAGAUCUGGAGGAAUACCGAUGGCGAAGGCAGCCAUCUGGCCUAACACUGACGCUGAGGUACGAAAGCAUGGGGAGCAAACAGGAUUAGAUACCCGCGUAGUCCCUGUCUCUUAUAC